AAGACUAUAGACCUGCGGAGUACCUGCGGAAGGAUCAUCAAAGGAAAAUGGCUUCUCUUACUUACAGGGGAGGUGCAAGGGGAGGAGAAAUUCUCUUGUUGCACUUCUCUAAACAAACAAACAAACAAUCGCAACUAGCUAGCACAAAUGGAGCGAGUAGUGGGAUGUAUGUAGUGUUGUUUGGUUUGGCUUGGCUUGGUUUGAUGGGGGCGGUAGCAGCAGCAGUCAAAAGUGUUUGCC
rnacentral:misc_RNA from 1 species